UCCGGCUUGUCACCGGCAGUGUCUCCAGAGUGCCCAGCUUGACCUGAUGGCAACUGAAGAGAGGGGUUGCGCUCGUUAUGGCACUUAAGCCGACACCUCACGGCACGAGCUGACGACAACCAUGCAGCACCUUCACAGAGGCCCCGAAGGGCGUCAUUAUCUCUAAAUCCUUCCUCUGCAAUUCAAGCCCGGGUAAGGUUCCUCGCGUAUCAUCGAAUUAAACCACAUGUUCCUCCGCUUGUGCGGGCCCCCGUCAAUUCCUUUGAGUUUCACCGUUGCCGGCGUACUCCCCAGGUGGGAUGCUUAAUGCUUUCGCUUAGCCGCUGAUACCAGGUACCAACAGCGGGCAUCCAUCGUUUACUGUGCGGACUAC
rnacentral:misc_RNA from 1 species